rnacentral:lncRNA from 1 species
AAUAUUUCAAGAUACAGAUUACAAUUUCUGCAGAUAAACAGACGUCGUUACCUGGGCCUUGGUUUUGCACGGGGAGGAGGUCUGAAGAUCAUUGGUAGUUUCCCAUUGCAGCCAGGGAAGGACAACACCGUCUGCCACCGCAGGUAAAGCAACUUUUGGGAACGCAACUGGCGUUUCUGUCAUAGCUUGAACUAACUCGAGUCACUUCUCUCUCCAUCAAAAGAGGAAAAGUCAGUGUCCUCAACAUUCGACAGAAAAAUCUUGAAAGUAUUGCUCAGCCUCUUCAAUAAGUCGUUUUGACAUCCUUGAUCUAUCAUUGCUCCUCUGCAAUAAAUUUAUGUCAAAUUCUAUUUCGUAGGUGCACAAAAUUAACUGGAAACAAUGGAACAGCAACGGCAACCAAAUAAACUUACUCUUCUGUG